UUCCAGGCCCGCCUCCCGCCUCCAGCCUCGAAUUUCCUUUUUUGCUCACAAUUUCCCCCGACCCUCUGAGUGCGCUUUCUUUUCUCGGGAAGCGGGGAGUGGAGAAGGAGGAUAAAAAAGGCUCCAGGUGCGAGGCAAAGAUGGAGGAAGGCUCCCAGGCCCCGGACUGGGACAGUGAUGAGACGGUGAUAGACGAGUCGGUGACGGAGAGCGACCUGGAAGAAGAGGAGCUACCCUGGAGAAGGUUGCUCUUUGAUGAAGACACAUCUCUUAGAUCUGAGUUCAGUCUCCAUCCUGGUAUAAGUGGAAGGUGCAAAGGCAAACUUUCUCCUGAGAUUCAACUUGGGUUUAAACUGAGAGAUAAUCCCCAAGAGCAAAUGAGUAAAAGUAAGAUAAUGCCUCUUAAUGACAAGGCAGUCUUACAGGUAGGUAGCAUGUUGAUUAAAUACAUACUUAUU
rnacentral:lncRNA from 1 species